ACUAGGACUUGCAAUGGACAAGAUAGGAAACAAACUCAAGAUUCGGAAAUUUAUGAAUCGAUAUCCGAAGACCUUCCUCGAGGCUGAGUUUCCAAGAAACGUUUCCGGGCGAACUGGCCAUUAAAGCAAACAUUCAAGCAAAAAGUCCAAGGCUGGAUCUCCAUAAGAAGGGGACAAAGAAACGUUAGUGGUGACAAGAACGAACUUUAUGAACAAUAUGGUAUUCGACUUUUUGCAAACUGACGACCGAAACAAAGGAAGAAGAGGAAAGGGAAAUAAGUAACGUUAUUAACAACUCGCAAAUACACGACAGUCUUAGGUCGUGCUUUUUUAGAAAAAUUUAUUUCAGUAUUACAGAUCGAACGAGCUGAAAAAAAAUCAUUAGCUGACCCACAAAAAUAGCAAAUUUUUAAAACUUCAGUGUUCUGCAAUUUAUGACAACACAAUUUUGUAAGGAAAAUUUUACUAGAGGACUUGUAUGCGUAUGAAACGUUUUAGUUCAUUAAAUAAUGCUCUGUGAAUA